AAGCAUGCGUUUGAUGAGCAUGGUUAUUUAGGGGCCCAAAGGACGACAACAACCUGAAACUAGAAAGAGCCCAAAAGUUAACAGAUCAUCUUUCGAUGCAGCAUUCUAUUUGCUUUCACUCUCUCCAAUUCUCAGCAUCUCUUUCAGAUCCAAUCGCAUCCAUUCCAAUUUAGCAGAUCGCCAAUUCCUCUCUCUGUGUAUUCUUAUUUCUAACAUAAAAGAACAAGGACAAGAUGUUUAAAUUUUUGAAGGGAGUGGUGGGUGGAUCUGGUGCCGGACUUAAGGAUCUCCCGUACAAUAUCGGCGAACCUUACCCCUCUGCUUGGGGCUCUUGGACACACCAUCACGGCACCUCCAAGGAUGAUGGAUCUCCAGUUUCAAUAUUUUCACUUUCUGGAAGUAAUGCUCAGGAUGGACAUCUAGCAGCUGGCCGUAAUGGUGUCAAGCGGCUUCGCACUGUCAGGCAUCCAAAUAUUCUAUCAUUUCUGUACAGUACUGAGGUUGAAACUUUUGAUGGUUCUACCUCAAGGAUUACUUUGUAUAUGGUAACUGAACCUGUUAUGCCAUUAUCUGAGAAGAUCAAGGAGCUAGGUUUAGAAGGCACACAAAGGUAUAAUUGCAGUAAUCUGCUGGGGUUGUGCUCCUUUGGUUAUUGGUUAUGCAACUUUCAAUGCUUUUUUCGUAUGUUACAUGAUUCUAGUUAAUGCUUUACUCAUCAUUCUUUGCAUGGUGAUGUGUGCAACUUUACUCACUGUUAAUCCACAGGUUAAUAUUUCAAGCUCUUCUGUCAUACUUAGUCACUAAUUGGGUAUUUUACGCACACUUAUGCAGAGUUGAUGGAACCUUUCACCCUGGCAAGUGCCAAUUUCGUUACAUUUUUUUACUUGUGACAUUAUUUUGUUAACAGAGAUGAGUAUUAUGCUUGGGGGCUGCACCAGAUAGCUAAAGCUGUGAGCUUUUUGAAUAAUGAUUGUAAACUGGUACAUGGAAAUGUUUGUUUAGCCAGUGUUGUUGUCACACCAACUCUUGACUGGAAGCUGCAUGCUUUUGAUGUUUUAUCUGAAUUUGAUGGGAAUAAUGAAAGUGCAACUGGACCAAUGCUGCAAUAUGAAUGGCUUGUUGGGCCACAAUACAAACCAAUGGAGUUGGCUAAGUCUGACUGGGUUGCAAUCAGAAAAUCUCCACCUUGGGCUGUUGAUUCUUGGGGUUUGGGUUGUUUCAUUUAUGAACUCUUUUCUGGUAUUAAGUUGGGGAAAACGGAGGAGUUGCGCAACACUGGUUCCAUUCCAAAGUCAUUGCUUCAGGAUUACCAGCGGCUCCUUAGUUCUAUGCCCUCUCGCAGGAUGAAUACAUCAAAGCUUAUAGAAAAUAGUGAAUAUUUUCAGAAUAAGUUGGUGGACACCAUACAUUUCAUGGAAAUUCUUACGUUGAAAGACAGUGUUGAGAAGGAUACCUUCUUCCGUAAACUUCCAAAUUUAGCAGAGCAGCUUCCUCGCCAAAUUGUGCUGAAAAAGUUGCUUCCUUUAUUAGCUUCUGCCCUUGAAUUUGGUUCAGCUGCUGCUCCUGCUUUGACUGCAUUGUUGAAAAUGGGUUCUUGGCUUUCAGCUGAAGAAUUUAAUGUCAAGGUAUUGCCAACAAUUGUGAAACUGUUUGCCUCAAAUGACCAUGCCAUUCGAGUCAGUCUCUUGCAACAUAUUGAUCAAUAUGGAGAGUCAUUAUCAGCACAAGUUGUUGACGAGCAAGUUUACCUUCACAUUGCUACUGGGUUCUCUGACACAUCUGCUUUCCUUCGUGAAUUGACCCUCAAAUCCAUGCUUGUUUUGGCACCCAAGCUUUCUCAACGUACUAUUUCGGGCUCCUUAUUGAAGUAUCUUUCAAAGUUACAGGUUGAUGAAGAGCCUGCAAUUAGAACAAACACCACCAUAUUACUUGGCAAUAUUGCAAGUCAUCUAAAUGAAGGGACCAGGAAGAGAGUAUUAAUUAAUGCUUUUACAGUCCGCGCUCUGCGUGACACUUUUUCUCCAGCUAGAGGAGCAGGAAUAAUGGCAUUAUGUGCGACUAGUUCUUAUUAUGACAUAAGUGAGAUUGCAACUCGAAUUCUUCCCAAUGUUGUUGUACUCACCAUUGAUGCUGACAGUGAUGUUCGAUCAAAAGCUUUUCAAGCUGUUGAUCAAUUUCUGCAAAUAGUCAGGCAGUAUCAUGAAAAGACAACUGCUGGAGAUACCACUGCAGAUGCAACUAUGGGAAUUUCGUCAUUACCAGGAAAUGCUAGUUUACUUGGAUGGGCUAUGAGUUCGUUGACUCUCAAGGGUAAACCAUCUGAGCAAGCUUCACUUCCUCCUAUAAAUUCUGGUGCACCUCUAACUUCUACUGCCACCAAUGCCAGCUCAGCGAUGGAUACUCCAAGCACAGCACCAGCCCGUGUGAAUUCCAGCACAGACUUAGCCGAUCAACCAGUACCUGUAUCUCCUACUUCAACAGAUGGCUGGGGAGAAAUUGAAAAUGGAAUUCACGAAGAGCAAGAUUGUGACAAAGAUGGUUGGGGUGAUAUUGAACCUCUUGAAGAGCCAAAGCCAUCUCCAGCCCUUGCAAACAUUCAAGCGGCUCAAAAGCGGCCAGUCUCACAGCCAGUUUCACAACCAAAACCACAAGGUAAUACAUGCAUAAAUAUAAUUAUGGUUGUUAAUGGGAAAUGUAAAGCUAGACUGAAUGUUUGGGCCAUAUGGAGCAUUUUUGGUGAACUUGGAGCUGCAGCCUCUUCUUAUAUCCUAUUUUUAGACAAUUUUGUUGGAUCUGGGAUCCUUCACUAAAUGCUGGGCCUAUAAUAAAUGCCAACACUACAGGCAUCUUAAUUUUGAAAGUUUUUUUUCUUGUAUACACUGCUUAAUGUAAUAUUAGGUACAUUUCCUUAUCAUGCUUUUUUUUUAUAUAUUAUUAAUGUUUUUGCCUUGUUUAGAUUUAUUCUUUGACAAGACACUUAAGAAGUCUGUUUAAUGAGUAUUUGUUUAAUCCCCUUAUCAGCUGCAAGUCUGCGACCUAAAAAUACAGGAAAGGUGACAAAGGAUGAAGAUGAUGAUUUAUGGGGUUCCAUAGCUGCUCCUGCUCCAAAAACGUCAUCAAAACCCUUGAAUGUUAAAACAACAUCUACGCUUGAUGAUGAUGAUCCUUGGGCUGCCAUCGCUGCUCCUCCACCGACUACAAGAGCCAAACCAUUGUCAGCUGGUAGAGGCCGAGGAGCUAAACCUGCUGUUCCAAAAUUGGGCGCACAAAGGAUAAACCGGACAUCCUCUGGAAUGUAAUCUAGUGACACAGAACUAAAGAAGAUGAGGGAAGAUCAAGAUCUGUAAAUUUUUUUUUCUUUGGUGACUGGUUUUCACAUUGAAAUACUUGAAUCCGUCACCUUAAGUUGUAUUUGCUACUUUCUCCCAACAUAUUUGAUUUGUAUUAUCAUUCUUUUCUACAAAAUAUUGUUUUUGUUCUGUUUCUUCUUUUGAAGAAGUUGCUGUAUGCCUCACUGCUUUGUAGCAUAAAUUAGUGUCCGCAGCAACUUCAGUUUGGAAUUAGCUUAAUCAUAGGGCAUGUAGACAUACUUGGAAUGUAAUGUCAAUUUUGUUUUAUAAAAGAAAUGGAAAGUUUUGCCUUUUUCUUCUAUAACUGUGACUGCGUGUGUUAGUAAAAGUUCAUCUGGUUCAUGUUUGUUUCCAGUAAUACAUCAUUCCCAUCAUCUGAAUUUUUAAUUCAGGACGCUAUGCAAAUUCUAACACUUCCACUGUUUAGUAAUUACAGCAAACCCAGCCAUUUGCAAGAACAAAGUUGAGGAAGCAGUGUGGUCAAGUAGAAUGAGGAGAUGGGGACACCAUCAUUCUCUUUUGUCUUCCUCAAGAUCUUCUCCAAGCUCAAGCACAUGCUGUUCUGGAGCAGUUGAUGCCUUCCUUUCCUCUCUUUCCAGCUUGGUAGCUAAAUCUUCAACCACCUUAACUCUACUCACAGACAGAGGAAUACUCUCUUCGUCCAUCUCCUUAGAAAAUACGUAUCUUUAUUAGUAACAACUGGUAAGAAAAGUGAAACUGCCAAAUGCUUUAAAGUUGAACUUGAAUAACCUGAUGUAUUAAAAGCUAGAAAACAAGUCAGGCAAUGGCAUAUUGCAGGAGGAAAGACUUAAGUUUCAGAAAGUACCUUGUCGGGUUAUUUGAUGGAGCCCAGAGAAGGCAUAUGACUACCAGUAGCACAAAUGCAAGCAAGGUGCAUUGAGGUACAACUCAUAUCCAAUCCAAGCAAUGGAGAUUAGCACUGCUACUGCAAGGAAAUUAGUAAAUUUCUGGUAGAGUGCAAAUUUAGCUGCGCUUCUUCUUAUCUGUCCACAAAGUAGAGAAUGAACUGAGGAAUUAAAAAUAGUUGCCAUAAAUAUAAAUCUGCAUGGAAUCUAGCCAAUGGAUGAUCACUUCUAUCUUGCAGUUCCAAUGGCAACAAAGUUUAUUACUCUACAUUAUUAGAUAAAUCAUGAAGAUAAAAAUUAGACAAGCACUUAUUUGUACAUAAAUCAAGGCUAUUCCUUAUGAUGGAUAGAAGCUACCCUUCACAGAAUUAAGUCACAAUUAUGACUUUGUAUGCACAUAGACAUGUCGGAAAAUCGUAUGCAUCAGGCACAUAAUGGAAUAUCCUUUCCUUAACAAAUGCAAACAAUGAAUUGUAGAGCAUGAUGAUAUGUAUAAAGUAACAGCAUGGAAAGAAUGGUGUUACCAAGUAUAUGAUCACCUGAAGCUUCUCUAGAGUUUGGGAUAAUGAUGAAAAAAUACAAAUAAUAAAGCAGGCAUCCAGCAGAGCCACAGGCAACACUGGCACUAGCAUUGCUUUUCCAGAAAAGUCAUUGAUAUUCCCCAAGUUCUCAACAAACCCAAGUUCUUCUGAAGCAAUGAAAUAUGCGAUACCAAGGAGCAUUACUUUUGAUGUUAUACCACCAAGAGUUGGCCGCACAACACCAUAGCCCAUUGAAACCACCAAAAGAAGCCAACGGCAAACAGUCUUCUUAACAGCACUAAAGGUUACUGCCCAAAGGGUGAUUCCCAUUGGCCUGCUUCCAUUUGAAUUAAAAUUAGCAUAUUCGAAGUACCAAAAAGCCACUUCACACGUUCCCAAACCUAUCACAACUGUAAUGUGAUAGUGCAAUUGAAUAAUGUCUUUCCAGCACUUCACAAACCAGAUAAACAAGACAAAGUCCUAGAGCAAGGUAUGCUAAAGACAUAAGCACAAAGAAAGUCAUCAUUGGCGCCAUCUUUCUAGGAAGACAACCAUCUGGGUUUCUCCAGACUGUCCCACCACUGACUAUCAUCCCUUUUAAGUUCUGGAUCACAAAACAUAAAAUACAGAUAGUACAUUCCAGUGCUGUUGAUCUCAAUUGUUUGAAGAACCAUUUUAGCCUCUUCAUUUUUUCCUUCAAAGAAGGUCUGAAGUCUUUUUGGCCCAUCUGGGUUAUUGGGGUCUUGGUGGAUUACUACCUCUCCUGCUUUGCAGGAUUCAUCCUUGGCAAGAUCUGCAGUACAGCAAAUUGCACUAGAAUUGAUAUAAGAACCCCCAAUUUUCUCUCUGUCUCUGACAACAACUACUAGUGCUUCAACUAGUCCAGUCUUUUGCUGCAUUUCAUUCUUCUUUUUUCAGCAGAUUCUUUCCGAAGUGAUUGAUUCAAAUCUGAUAAAGGACUUGCCAUUGAGGGGCUUGCUCCCUGAGAGGAGGGUUUAUUUGGAAGUUUAGGGGCAUAAAGGCCGUCACUGCCACCAUGGACGAAGAAGGAAUUGGAACGACGAAUGAAAGCUUCGUUCCGGUAUUCAUGGAUCGAAGCAUCCACUUGUGUUAUUGAAAACCAGCUUAUACACAUUACUAUAACUAUGAUUAUGGCCCGCCCAUUUGUUCCUAGAUCAUGAAAAACCCAAUGCACCAUCUUCUUCUCCGUGUUUGCCCUCCCUCUCUGAAAUGUUGAUAACAGAGUCGAGAAAUAUAAUGCAAUAGGCAGGGAGAAUGUGCAAGGAAUUUAGAACAUUAUGACUAAGAUAUUCAGAGUCAAAUGACAGAUAUAUCUUUUGAAGUUGCCUAAAUUAUAAGUACUUUGUAGGGGAAAGAAAAUCAUUUUAAAAAAAAAUAUAUCUGUUUGGAGAUUAUCCUUAAAUGGGCAUUCUUGAAAGUUGAAACUUUGUGCUAUGCAUGGCAUUCAAGACUUCAAUUUCUUUUAACCUCCUCCAUUUGAUCAAAUAACUACUAGGACAUCUUUGCUUCACCUUUUAAAUAAAAUGAAAUGGUAAUAAAUAGUUUUCCCAAAUCCUAUUCUAUUUUAUUGUUUUAAUUAUUGAUAAAAUGGAAUCAAUUUAACCCUAGAGAAUUAAUCAAAUCAUGCAAGAAACACAUAUUUGCAUAUUUGCAUUCCAUUGUUUUGAGACAUUAUGUCAGCUUUCGUUGCUACCCAAAAUUCCAAUAGCUGAAAACUGGUGAACUCUAUCUAGGGUCAAGCAAUGAAGUAAACAAAUGCAUUGAAUCUUUUAUUAGCUCAUGCUCUAGAAUGGGCGCCCAAGAACUACAUUUACUGUAAGUUUUUUUUUUAAAACAAAAAAAUAAAAAAAAAAAAAAAUUAAAAAAAUAAAAAAAAAAAAAAA
rnacentral:misc_RNA from 1 species